rnacentral:rRNA from 1 species
UAUCCUUAUUUGCCAGCGCGUUAUGGGCGGGAACUCUAAGGAGACUGCCGGUGAUAAACCGGAGGAAGGUGGGGACGACGUCAAGUCAUCAUGGCCCUUACGGGAUGGGCUACACACGUGCUACAAUGGCAGGUACAGAGGGCAGCAAUACCGCGAGGUGGAGCGAAUCCCACAAAGCUUGUCGUAGUCCGGAUUGGAGUCUGCAACUCGACUCCAUGAAGUCGGAAUCGCUAGUAAUCGUAGAUCAGAAUGCUACGGUGAAUACGUUC